UUGUGUUCUGUCAGGGGUUCAGGAGCAGAGGCACAGGAAAGGGAGGAAAUAGAGAGCGAGGGGGAGGAGUCCGAAGGAAAUGUUAGCGAUGACAGCGGUCCGAGGUCUCUGAGUCUUUCCAGCGAAUCGGAAGAUUCACAGAAAGGGGCUCCCUUGGUCAGAGCAAGGGGGUGCCGAGGGGACACCCCAGGAAGAAGGGGCCAGAGGGGACUCAGAGAGCAGCAGUUGGAAAUCAGGACCAGCGUCCACACCAGAGUGCAGUAGGGGGGAGGAGUCCCAGGCAUCGGGAUCAGGCGGCGCACUGCCAGUGGGAGGACAUGAGUCAGGAUUGGCCACGCCUCCAUCGGGGAGCGAGGAAACGGUCGAGAGGAAGGUUGAAGGCUGGGCGCGCGCGCCAAGUUCAAAUGUACAGGAGGGCGGCGCAGUUGGCAGCCCGGAUAGGGAGCCAGGUCCCAAAGCCCGCCGAAAAGGGGGGGAGGAGUCAGGAGGGUCAGCGUCAGAAGAAUCCAGGAAGGAAGGGACCCCGGGGGGUAGCAGGACCCAGAGGAGAAAGGAGAGACGUAAGAGGUGGAGUAAGGCUAGAAUCUUAAACUGGUGUACAGGGGGGGAGACUCAGAUGGAGCUUCGCCGAUCUAACCCCUAGACGUAGAGCUGGGGCGCUCCGGCUUGAAAAUGGAAACUGUACUUCAAUAAAGACUUUUGCACAUUACUGCCGGCUAGCGUUGGUCCUCUGUGAGCUGGGACCUGGAGCCAGCUCUGACAGUAAGCUCCAUCUCAUAAAGUUUUGCACCAAAACCUCGUAACGUGAGUGGACGCAGCGAGGGAAGAAGAUUGGUGCUUUGCGAGCUCACAAAAGUCAGGCAAGAUGACUACAGAACAGCAACUAGCAGCCCUGCAAAAUGCAGUGACACAACUCAACGCGGAGGUACUCGCAUCCAGGAAAAGGGAAGAGGAAGCGGCUGCCGCCUGCAGGGAUCUCCAAGCCAGGUUGGAAGUGCUUGCUAAGCAGGGGCAACCGGGACCCAAAUCAGAGGGGAUUGGGCUGGGGAAAAGAGGAGGCAGCCUGGUAUCUCAUUUCGAUGGGAAUUUGCAGCAGUACCCUAACUUCCGAGCAGACGUGCUGUUUGCGCUGGAACUGCUGGAUAAAGACUUUAGAGAUGAGCAAGAGAAGGUGGGGUUUAUCUUGUCCCAUUUGCAUGGGGAAGCUAAAGCGUGGCUGCGCAAUCUGUGGAGAGAUAAGGAUCCGGCGCUCCAAAAUGCGGAUGCAUUCAUUAAAGCGAUGGAUUCGUGUUUUUUAUCAAAUAUAGACAUUGAUAUCGCCAGAAAAGACAUACAUGGGCUCAAACAAGGCAGAGCCAGUGUAAGGCAGUACCAUUCCCGCUUUUUUGCAUUAGUCCAUGCGCUGGGAUGGGAGAAGGAUUCUGCCCCAGUCAGAGACCUUUUUUUGGGAAGGCUUGAAUGCAAAUGUGAAAGAUGAGAUUGCAAGGGGGGAGAGACCAAAGAGCACUCAGGAGGUUGUCCGGCGGGCGCUGCAAAUUGGGGUGCGUCUGGAAGAACGUCCAUGGAACAGAGAAGAAGGACGUUGGGGACGUACGCCAGUGAGAGCACCUCCCUCUUUCCCAAGGAUACAGCGCGUGUGCAAUCCCCACCUCCGCAAGGAGGGGAGAGCAACCGAUGGAGAUUGGAGGCGCCAGGGCUCAGUCAACAACCAGAGCCUUAACACCGGGAGCAGUCAAAGCGAAGCCUCCUAGAGGGAACAGGAAGUGCUACAUCUGCGACAGUGCUCAGCACAUGGCGAAAGAGUGUCCCCAGAGGCUCCACAAGCACACUGCAGCCUCAGCAACAGUAACAGAAGCAACUCAGCAGAGAGAAACACAGCAGGGAAACGACAGAGUCUGGUUGGAGGAAGAGGCACUGGGGCCCAACCAGACAAGUCAAUGAAGCCGUCCCCAGAGAUUUUGCAGCCCACAGACCCCCUCCCGCCCAAACCAGUGGUGCAGCUCACAGCAUCGCUCCAACUACCCAAUGGACUCACUAUGGAAGUGCCGAUUACCAUUGACUCUGGUAGUAACGCAGACUUCAUAGGACUGGAUUUCCUUCAAGAGCACAACAUAGCACUCCUGCCAGCCACGCUGCCUCUGAAAGUUGUCACGGUGGAUGGCAGGGAAUUGCUGGGGGGUGCAGGUGGUGCAGCAAACGCCUCCGAUGGUGAUGCAAAUUGGGAAUCACCGAGAAGUCAUCAGCUUCAAUGUCACCCAACUGUCGGACACGCCUAUAGUAUUAGGCAUGAGUUGGCUGCACAGGCACAGCCCAGCAUUGGCGUGGUACCAGCGACAACUGACCUUCGGCUCCUCAUACUGUGCGGAACAUUGCAUUCUGCCUAGCCCGGAAGGGGAAGAGGAUGACCCGCAGCUACAAUUAGGCACGCUGCAAGCAGUGCCACUCAAGUACGCAGCGUUUUUGGAGGUUUUCUGCGAGAAGGAAGCGGACAAGCUACCUCCCCACAGGUCUUAUGACUGCAAGAUUGACCUCCUGCCAGGGGCGACGCUGCCAACCGGGAAACUGUAUUCCAUGUCCGAAGACGAGCUGCAGGAACUCAGGGAGUUCAUAGACCUCAACUUGAAGCGCGGUUUCAUCCGGGAGUCGAAGGCAGUGGGGGGCAGUCCUGUAUUCUUUGUGAAGAAGAAGGACACGCCCCAAAAAAGGCUUGUGGUGGACUAUAGAAUUUUGAACUCAAAAACCAAGCCCACAGCCUUUCCCAUGCCCAAGAUAGAUGACCUGCUCGCAACGGUGAGGAAAGGACGCGUUUUCACAAAGUUGGAUCUGCGAGGGCGUACAACCUGAUUCGCAUGCGGGAGGGCGACGAAUGGAAGACUGCCAUGUUCACGCCCCUGGGCACCUAUGAAUACAGAGUUAUGCCCUUUGGAUUACAAAAUGGCUCCCACUGUUUUCAAGCCUUCAUGCAUCACGUAUUGGCGGGUCUCCUCUACAAGAAAUGCGUCUGCUUCCUGGACGACAUCCUGAUAUUUUCAGAAUCAGAGGAGGCCCACGAGGGAGACGUCAAGGAAGUUCUGCAGAGACUGCAGGAGCACAGGCUGUACGCCAAGCUGGAAAAGUGCCAGUUCGACAUGAAGGAAGUAGAUUUCCUGGGCUACAAGUUGUCGGACAAGGGGCUCGCCAUGGACAGCGCCAAGGUUCGCUCAGUGUUGGACUGGAAGAGCCCGCGCAAUCGGAAGGAGGUCCAACGGUUUGUCGGUUUCGCCAACUUUUACCGCAAGUUCAUCAAGGGGUUCGCGAUGCAGACGGCAGCCAUUACCGACACACUCAGCUCCAAGAAGAAGAAGUUCAUCUGGACGGAGCAAGCGGAACAGUCCUUUCAGAAACUCAAGCGUCUCUUCUCGUCCGAAGAGCAGCUACUGCAUGUGAAUCCCAGCAGACCGAUGAGGGUUGAAACGGACGCCUCAGACAGAGCCGUGGGAGCAGUACUGUUGCAGCAAGACCCGCAUGGGGACUGGAGACCGUGUGCCUUCUACUCCAGGAAGCUCAGCAAGUCAGAGCAGAACUACACCAUCUGGGACAGGGAGUUGCUGGCCAUUCAUGCAGCAUUCAAGGCGUGGCGGCACUUCCUCAUUGGAGCCAAACACACAGUGCAGGUCCGCACGGACCAUAAAAACCUGGAGUACUGGCGCACGGCAAGGUUCCUGAACCAGAGGCACAUACGAUGGGCGGAGUUCUUUGCGGAUUUCGACUUCAGGAUAGAGUACAUCCCAGGCGACAACAACAUCAUGGCGGAUGCACUGUCCAGAAAGCCGCAAUACCUCGAGGAGGCGGCACCAGCAGCGGCCAAGCACAUUUUCGCACCGAAAGCGUGGGCGUGCGCUUCAGCAACCGUGGACCUGGAUGCUGUACGUCGAGCACUGCAGGAGGACCCCUUCGCGCAAGCAAAGAUGGCAGAGGUGCAAAGGGGCACGGCGGAGGACGACGAGUUCCAGAUACGCGACGGAUUGCUCAUCCGCAGAGGGGCCCUCUACGUACCGGGAGACGACCUCCGCGCGAAAGUACUGCAGCAGUUGCACGACGCACCCACCGCCGGGCACUUUGGCAAAGAGAAGACGGUAGAAUUAGUAGCCAGAGAUUUUUGGUGGCCCAAGAUGCGGGGGAAGUCGCGGAUUACGUCUCGAGGUGCGACACCUGCCAAAGGGCCAAGUCAGUGCACAAACCGCCGGCGGGACUGCUCGAACCGCUGCAGACACCGCUCGAACCGUGGGAGAGGGUGGCCCUGGACUUUGUCACGGAUCUACCCAGCUCGAGGGGCAAGACGGCAGUGCUAGUGGUGGUGGACAUGUUCACCAAAAUGGCCCACUUCAUUCCGUGCGCGAAGGUGGCCACGGCGGAACAGACCGCCAAACUGUUCAUAGACCACGUGUUCAGGGUUCACGGUCUGCCACGGUCUAUCCUGUCCGACCGGGGGCGACAGUUCAUCUCGAACUUCUGGCAGAAGCUGAUGGGUUUCCUGAACGUCAAGAUCAACCUAGCGUCGGCGAGACACCCGCAGACGAACGGACAAGCGGAGCGAGUCAACGCCAUCAUGCAGCAGUACCUGAGAUGCUACGCAAAUCAGCAGCCGGCAACAUGGGUGGACUACCUGCCGCUCGCUGAGUUCGCCUACAACAACACGAAGCACGUGUCCACGGGGGUGACACCGUUCUUCGCCAACAACGGGAGGCAUCCCAGAACCUUCCCGGGAUUAGCGAGAGAGGGGAGGGGGAGCCACAGGCAGCGGAAGCCUUAGCAUCAGAGUUGCAGGAGGUUCACGAACAGCUUCGGAGGCAGUUAGAACUAGCAAAGCACGCAUACAAACUGCAGGCUGACAAGCACAGAAGGGUUGGGGAAGACAUACAGGUGGGAGACUGGGUUUGGUUAGCAGCCCAGGCAGUGCCGGCCAGAUCGUUAGCGAAGAAGAAGCUAGGGCAUAAGCAGCUAGGACCCUACCAAGUCGAGGCACAGGUCAAUCCAGUGGCCUUCCGGUUGACACUGCCGGAGGGAUCCAGAAUGCACCCAGUUUUCCAUAGAUCAGUGCUCACGCCCUACAAAGCACCUCAUAGAUUUCAGGAGCCAGGAACGGCACCAGACCCGUUCAGGGAAACGCCCACAAGGGGGGGGUCGCCAAGGCGGGAACCCGUCAACGAAGUCACAGAGAUUUUAGACUCGAGAUGGGCGAGGAGGGAGUGGAAUACCUCCUCGCCAAGGAAGGCUAGCGCCAACAGUUGGGUGCCAGAUUAUGCUCUGGAGGAAUCUUGGCUUAAGGACGAGUUCCAUGCCCUUUUCCCACACAGGCCCAUGCCAGCCGAGUAUUUCGACGACUGGCUUUUCACACCCACAUUUUCAGCUAGCACAUUCCAGGGGUUCACCUCGGACGAGGAACCGGCACUAGAAACACGUUCCCCGGAGGGAUCACCCUCGGGGUCUGCCUCAGACCGCUCCUAUUGGUGGGACAAUCAACCAGAGGAGCAGUGGCGCAGGAAGUGGUUGGGGGGUCCUUGGCAGGCAACGUCCCCGGAGGAGACCGGGGAGAGACGGACAUGGACGUGUUGGGGGAGGACCUUGGGUUCGAGCACGGCGGCAAAGAGAUGGAAGCAGAGGAAAUUGAGGUCGGCGAGAGCACGGAGGACGAGCCGGACUUAUCCGGCUGGAUGCACGCCACGGGGGACGAACUGUAUCCGGCACUCACCCCCACAACGACGGAGCACCCAGUACCCACACCUGAAGGAGGGGAGGGGGAAGGGGGCCUGCGCGGGGGGCAUGGAUGUCAGGGGUUCAGGAGCAGAGGCACAGGAAAGGGAGGAAAUAGAGAGCGAGGGGGAGGAGUCCGAAGGAAAUGUUAGCGAUGACAGCGGUCCGAGGUCUCUGAGUCUUUCCAGCGAAUCGGAAGAUUCACAGAAAGGGGCUCCCUUGGUCAGAGCAAGGGGGUGCCGAGGGGACACCCCAGGAAGAAGGGGCCAGAGGGGACUCAGAGAGCAGCAGUUGGAAAUCAGGACCAGCGUCCACACCAGAGUGCAGUAGGGGGGGAGGAGUCCCAGGCAUCGGGAUCAGGCGGCGCACUGCCAGUGGGAGGACAUGAGUCAGGAUUGGCCACGCCUCCAUCGGGGAGCGAGGAAACGGUCGAGAGGAAGGUUGAAGGCUGGGCGCGCGCGCCAAGUUCAAAUGUACAGGAGGGCGGCGCAGUUGGCAGCCCGGAUAGGGAGCCAGGUCCCAAAGCCCGCCGAAAAGAGGGGGAGGAGUCAGGAGGGUCAGCGUCAGAAGAAUCCAGGAAGGAAGGGACCCAGGGGGGUAGCAGGACCCAGAGGAGAAAGGAGAGACGUAAGAGGUGGAGUAAGGCUAGAAUCUUAAACUGGUGUACAGGGGGCGGAGACUCAGAUGGAGCUUCGCCGAUCUAACCCCUAGACGUAGAGCUGGGGCGCUCCGGCUUGAAAAUGGAAACUGUACUUCAAUAAAGACUUUUGCACAUUACUGCCGGCUAGCGUUGGUCCUCUGUGAG
rnacentral:lncRNA from 1 species